rnacentral:rRNA from 1 species
UUAACUCCCAACCCCUGUGAACAUACCUUAAUGUUGCCUCGGCGGAUCAGCCCGCGCCCCGUAAAACGGGACGGCCCGCCAGAGGACCCAAACUCUAAUGUUUCUUAUUGUAACUUCUGAGUAAAACAAACAAAUAAAUCAAAACUUUCAACAACGGAUCUCUUGGUUCUGGCAUCGAUGAAGAACGCAGCAAAAUGCGAUAAGUAAUGUGAAUUGCAGAAUUCAGUGAAUCAUCGAAUCUUUGAACGCACAUUGCGCCCGCUGGUAUUCCGGCGGGCAUGCCUGUUCGAGCGUCAUUUCAACCCUCAAGCCCCCGGGUUUGGUGUUGGGGAUCGGCUCUGCCCUUCUGGGCGGUGCCGCCCCCGAAAUACAUUGGCGGUCUCGCUGCAGCCUCCAUUGCGUAGUAGCUAACACCUCGCAACUGGAACGCGGCGCGGCCAUGCCGUAAAACCCCAACUUCUGAAUGUUGACCUCGGAUCAGGUAGGAAUACCCGCUGAACUUAAGCAUAUCAAUAAGCGGAGGAAA